GGGGGGGGGGGGGGGGGGGGUGGGGGGGGGGGGGGCGGGCGGAGCGGGGGGGGGGGAUGCGUCGGGGGGAGGUGUGUGGGACUGAGGGGCGGACGGGGGAGGAACGCGCGGGGAACCUGCGUCAUACAGGGGGGUCACGGGUAGAAAUGACUGCUAAUACCGCAGCAGACCACAGAGCCGCAUGGCUCGGUGGGAAAAACUCCGGUGGUAUGGGAUGGACCCGCGUCUGAGUAGGUAGUUGGUGGGGUCACGGCCGACCAAGCCAACGAUCAGUAGCCGACCUGGGAGGGUGACCGGCCACAUUGGGACUGAGACACGGCCCAAACUCCUACGGGAGACAGCAGUGGGGAAUAUAGCGCAAGGGAGGCAACCCUGGUGCAGCAAAGCCGCGUGAGCAAAGAAGUGUUUCGGUAUGUAAAGCUCUAUCAGCAGGGAAGAAAAUGACAGUACCUGACUAAGAAGCACCGGCUAAAUACGUG
rnacentral:rRNA from 1 species